AAAGAAUUAAUUUAAUUAUUUUUUUGCAUGUAAUUUUUUGAAAGAUUAAUAAUUUCUAAAUGAUUUAAUUUUUAUUUUCAGUGUUAAGUUUUUAAAUAAUUAAAUGAUUUUAAUUGAUAAAAUAAUUUAUUUCAGAAAAAUGUUAUGCCAGCAUUCGCGGUUAUAUUUCAUGAAAAGAUUAAUUUUUAUUGGAAUUUUAGAUUUUUUUUAGUUUAAUUUAUUAAUUUAGGUGAAAUUUAUUAAUAAUAUAUUAAUAAUUAUAAUUUCUGAAAAAUCUAUAAUAUAAACUAGGAUUAGAUACCCUAUUAUUUUAGAAAAUUUUAAUUUCCAGGUAGUAUUUUUUUUAUGAAAUUUAAUAGAUCUGGCGGUUUUUAAAUCUUUUUAGAGGAACCUGUAAUUUAAAUGAUAAUCCACGAUAUAUUUUACCUUUAUUUUUUCUUGUAUAUCUCUGUCGUUGAAUAUAAUUAAAGUUUAAUUUUCUUUUUAUCUAUAUUAUUUAUGUUAGGUCAAGGUGCAGUUAUAUAAAGGUAAUUAUGGGUUACAAUAAUUUUUUUUUUUUGAUAUUUAAUUUGGAUUUAAAUUGAAUUUGGAUUUAAUAGUAAUUUUUUUUAUUUAACUUUUUGAAUUAAGCUCUUAAUUAUGUACAUAUCGCCCGUCAUUCUCAUAAAGUGAGACAAGUCGUAACAAAGUAGAUGUAUUGGAAAAUGUAUCUAGAAU
rnacentral:ncRNA from 1 species